AUUGAACGCUGGCGGCAUGCUUUACACAUGCAAGUCGAGCGGGCAGCGCGGGGCUUUGGGCAACUGAAGUUUUGGCGGCGAGCGGCGAACGGGUGAGUAACACAUCGGAACGUACCGACAAGUGGGGGAUAGCUCGGCGAAAGCCGGAUUAAUACCGCAUAUGCUGUGCGCAGGAAAGCUGGGGCUCUGUGAGGACCUGGUGCUUGUUGAGCGGCCGAUGUCCGAUUAGCUAGUUGGUGGGGUAAAGGCCUACCAAGGCGACGAUCGGUAGCUGGUCUGAGAGGAUGAUCAGGCACACUGGGACUGAGACACGGCCCAG
rnacentral:rRNA from 1 species